ACAUAUACCAGGAUAAUUUGCUGUGUACGUAACGUACCACUUUUAACCUUUUCCUUAUACCGACGGUAAAUGUUCAUUACACACCAAACUUUAUCAAACCCACGUAGAAAUAAAAUUGAAUGAUGUUAAUCCAAGUAAUAAUGCUUGCUGAUCAUUGACCAAUCAAUAUCUUACUAUUAAAAGAAACUGUGAGGUUGUUUUAAAGUGAUUCAGCCAAGCUAGUUCAAGUACCGGUAUAUUUCUUUCAAUCUUUGAAUACAAAAUAUAAAAUCUUCCCUUUAUAUAAUGUAUGUGAUGUUCAUACCAGGUAUUAAACAGUGAUAUCCUUAGAAAUCAAGAAAGAUUUAUAAUGAGUUUUAAGAGAGCAUAAUUAAAUGUGUAUGUGAUAAAGUACUACUGUAUUUAUAAAAUUAACCAAAUACUGUUUAUACAAGUACAAUUACAUUUUUACUAGCACUAACUAUACAGGUAUGUACCCAGGAAGUUAUGUGUUUAACCAAUGUUCUCAGUAAGCAAUUUGUUCAUUUUAAAAUUCAGCGAAUCAAUGAAAUUAUUGUAACAAAGACAAAAUUGCCUUUGCUGGGAUUUGAACCUAUGUCUUCUAGCAUGCACAUCCAGCACUACCGAUCGAGAUAAAGAGUUAACCCACUAGCCAGAACUAGUAGAAUUGCCAUUUAUAUAAAAGCUGACUCUAUCACAUUGUUCCUCUCCAAGGAAAGAGUCGCCAACACCUAUGGGACAAAGUACUGGAGACAAUCUUUCUCUCACCCACCAGAGAAUACCCAGGCCCAUUGUUAGUUGCCAGAUGUACAGGAUGAGGGAAAUAAUGACCAACCAGACCAGGAUUUGAAAAUGUGGACCCCUGAUUCUCUAAUCAAGUAUACUCUAUCAAAUGAGCUGUCUGGUGUUAGAAUUUGAAUCUGUCCGAUUGUCACAUUCUGCCCCAUAAAUGAUCUCUACGUUCUUUCCCCUGGCAGUGGGCUAACCUUUCAGUUCCAGGGGUUGGCAUAGCACCACAUUCAUCAUUGGGUGCCAAAUGUUAACACUAACCCAGAUAGCAUGACUACGUUGGGCCAACGUUGGUAAUUGGUUGUACCGUUGGUCGAUGGUUGGCGUUGGGCACGCAAUGUUGGCCCAACGUUGGGCCAACAUUAUAACACAUAUUUCAUAGCACAUUGAUUGCUUUGUUGGCAUGACAACGUCGGGCCAACGUUGGGCCAACAUAAAUAAAACAUGUGAUCUCAUUUGUUAGUUAUGCGCAGUUGAGCCAACGUUGGGCCAACAUAAUAACAUGCCAUGAAUUUAGACUAAGUGUUUGUUGGUGUAACAAUGUUGAGCCAACGUUGGGCCAACAAAAGUAAAACAUAUGAUCUAUAUUUGUUGGUAAUGCGCAGUUGAGCCAACGUUGGGCCAACAUCUUAAUAUGCCAUGAAUUUCAACUAAGUGUUUGUUGGCGUAACAUUGUUGGGCUAUGGGUGGGCCAACGUAGGUAAAACCAUGUGAUCUCAUUUGUUGGUAUCGGCAGUUGGGCCAACAUUGGGCCAACAUUUUAAUAUGAUAUUAAUUUCAACUAAGUGUUUGUUGGCGUAACAUUGUUGGGCCGUGGGUGGGCCAACGUAGGUAAAACCAUGUGAUCUCAUUUGUUGGUAAUGCGCAUUUGGGCGAACAUUGGGCCAACAUCUUAAUAUGCUACGAAUUAUGACAAAGAGUUAAGACAAACAAACAGAUAACAUGAACACAACCAAACAAAUGUAAGGUGUAGAUGGGUAAAAAUUUGUGAUUUGCUCUGUUAAUUUUGAUGGCAAUUAUAAGGAAUUUAUAGGGUUUUAUUUAUGUUUUAGCACAUGAAAAUGCUAAUUAAAAAGUGUGUAUGUAUAAUUAGUUGUGUUAAAUCUAUAUCUCCUACUUUGGAAUAUAUAACAUGAUACAUUAAUUGUAUGUACUUUAUAGAUCUUAGUUAUUUGGGUUGAAAAAUAGUUAAUCUAUGUUAAUAAUAUAGAGUUUUAAACUGUCAAAUGUUGGCCCAACGUUGGUUCGUUGUUAGAUUUUAAACCCGACAAUGAAUUUUUUUUUAUUUUUAGAGAAAUUUUAGUGGAGCAUUGUAAAUUGUAUUGGACUUAAUUAUUUAAAACUGUUGGGUCAUAUAUGUUGGCCAUUUUUGCUCUGGUGAGGGAGGUGGCCCUUGGGCCUCUUGUUUAUGAAUCUGAUGAGUUGUAUAUACACAUAUGUAGCUGGAGCGCCUAUUGCAUAACGAAUCUUAAAGUGUUGAAAUUUAGAGGCAGACGGAGCUCCUUCACUGCCCAAGUAUCUGGGUCAGUGCUACUCACAGCAUGGGACUGGCCAGUUUCCUUGGAGAUCGGUCAUCUGAUAUAACCAGGAUGGUCAAAACUGCCACUUUUUAUUUCGAAUAUAUUGCAACCGUUGUGCGUGUACACCUAUAGUAAAUAGUUCUUUUUUCUACUCUACGAAUUAUACAUUAGAAGAUUGGGGAUAUAUAUGCUGCAAAAACCACAGUAAGAAAAAAGCAGACUAUGUGCCUCUGCAACAGAUGCAGAGAUUACAACCAUUGCAAAGGACAGGUUCCGUUUUUUCAAAGACCAUGAAGGUGAAAGGAAAAAAGGGAAGAAAGAAAAAAAGCAAGGAGGUAACCCAAGCCACUGAAGCCAGUGACCCGGACAGUGAUCAGAUCCUACAGUUCGAUUGUUACUAAGGAAUAUACAUAGACAAAGAAAUAUACUAACGAUUCUUUUUAAUUCUAAAAAGUGUUUAAAUGUUUUGUAAAUUUUUACUCAGAAAGAAUAAAAUCUGUAUACU